rnacentral:rRNA from 1 species
AGCGAACGCUGGCGGCAUGCUUUACACAUGCAAGUCGAACGGUAACAGGCCGCAAGGUGCUGACGAGUGGCGAACGGGUGAGUAAUGCAUCGGAACGUGCCCAGUCGUGGGGGAUAACGCAGCGAAAGCUGCGCUAAUACCGCAUACGAUCUAUGGAUGAAAGCGGGGGACCGUAAGGCCUCGCGCGAUUGGAGCGGCCGAUGUCAGAUUAGGUAGUUGGUGGGGUAAAGGCUCACCAAGCCAACGAUCUGUAGCUGGUCUGAGAGGACGACCAGCCACACUGGGACUGAGACACGGCACAGACUCCUACGGGAUGCAGCAGUGGGGAAUUUUGGACAAUGGGCGCAAGCCUGAUCCAGGAAUGCCGCGUGCAGGAAGAAGGCCUUCGGGUUGUAAACUGCUUUUGUACGGAACGGAACGGCUCUGGUUAAUACCUGGGGCUAAUGACGGUACCGUAAGAAUAAGCACCGGCUAACUACGUGCCAGCAGCCGCAGUAAUAC